rnacentral:rRNA from 1 species
GACGAACGCUGGCGGCGUGCUUAACACAUGCAAGUCGAACGAAGUGGCGAACGGGUGAGUAAUACGUGGGUAACCUGCCCUCCUUCUUGGGAUAAGCCUUGGAAACGGGGUCUAAUACCGAAUAAAGGGGGAUGGGCUCGCGGCCUAUCGGCUUGUUGGUGGGGUGCUGGCCUACCAAGGCGGUGCCGGGUAGCCGGCCUGACAGGGUGACCGGGCACAGUGAGACGGAGAAACGUCCCAGGGGCGGACGGGAGGGAGAAGUGGGGGAUAUUGGACAAUGGGCGAUGGACUGAUGCCGCGAGUGCGCAGAGGGUAUGAAGGCUUUAGGGUUGUUAAACUCUGUCGCAAGGGAACGGGUAGGUGGAGAAGAAGCGCCGGCUAACUACGUGCCAGCAGCCGCGGUAAUUC